rnacentral:rRNA from 1 species
GAUGAACGCUAGCGGCAGGCUUAACACAUGCAAGUCGAGGGGUAAAUAUAGCAAUAUAUGAGACCGGCAAACGGGUGCGGAACACGUACUGAACCUACCUUUAUCUGGGGCAUAGCCCGGAGAAAUCCGGAUUAACUCCCCAUAGUAUCAUUGGAUGGCAUCAUUUGGUGAUUAAAAAAAUUUAUUGGAUAAAGAUGGCAGUGCGUCCCAUUAGCUAGUUGGUAGGGUAACGGCCUACCAAGGCGACGAUGGGUAGCUGGUGUGAGAGCACGACCAGCCACACGGGCACUGAGACACGGGCCCGACUCCUACGGGAGGCAGCAGUGAGGAAUAUUGGUCAAUGGACGCAAGUCUGAACCAGCCAUGCCGCGUGAAGGAAGAAGGCCUUCUGGGUUGUAAACUGCUUUUGCCAGGGGAUAAAAUUUCCAUGCGUGGAAAACUGAAGGUACCUGGUGAAUAAGCCACGGCUAACUACGUGCCAGCAGCCGCGGUAA